UGCCGUUGCAUUAAGGUAAGCCUAUUUUAAAUUUCCUGUCUUCUUUGAUUCUUUAUUCUACCUUUCAUUUAUCCAUUAUUUGUUCUUAUUUGUGUUCUGCCUUUUUCCCCUGUUUUCCCUUUACAUUUUGCAUGAGCUUUCUUCGUCUGUGGUUGCUGUAAGGAACUUUCUUUCUUUGUCACUAGACACUUGCAAAUUGGACUGUUCUGUGAGCCACCGAAUGUUUUGCUUCCACUCAAAAGAGUGACAAUAAUUGUGCUUUUUCUUCAAUGGUUGGGCCUAUUUUCCACCUUGCCUAACCUUUUAAACUAUACCUGCUUCUUUGACUUUGCCGUCGAUUUUCCUUCUUGUUCGUAUGGUGUUAGGAGCUGUUUUUCUUCUCAGAAGGUGAUGGGAUUUGGUGGAUGACGAGCUCAAGAAGGUAAGGGGCUAGUAAUCUUCUGUCUUGGUUACUCUUUCCAUUUUUCUCUUUUUUCUUCAUCUCCCUUUUCCCUCCUACCUCUCUCGAGUAAUAAUAGUUAGUUUCUUCUAUUUUUUUGCCUUUUUUUCCCUAAUCUUUUUUUUCCUUUGCUAAAAGCAACAAAUCAUUUUCUCCUCUCCUCUGCGUCUCUGUUUGUUAUGUUCUCAGAUAUUUUGCUAUUAAGAAAACUUCAUUUUUUUUGGGCUUUGUAAUCACUGAAUCUCCACUAUACUUAAUUUUCUGACAUGCUUCAUUUUUUCCCAUCUUUUAAGGAUUUAGCUUGCAUGUUUCAUCAAUAAAUAUUUUCAUCAUUUUAAUCUGGACUUGGAUAAUAGCUACAUUUUUUGUCCAUUUUUUCCUUUUGUUAGGUGGGAAAAGAUGAUGAAGAUUGGAGAUGAAUUGAUGAUG
rnacentral:lncRNA from 1 species